UACGUGGGCCUCAAACGUUGUCCGGAUUAAUUGGGCGUAAAGCGUCCGCAGGUUGUGAUGUAAGUCAAUGGUCAAAUCCCGGUGCUCAACUCCGGGACUGCCAUAGAUACUGCAACACUUGAGGCUGGGAGAGGCAAGCGGAACUAUCGGUGUAGUCGUAAUAAGCGCUGAGAUCGAUAGGAACACCAAAGGCGAAGGCAGCUUGCUAGAACAUGCCUGACACUCAUGGACGAAAGCGUGGGUAGCGAAAGGG
rnacentral:rRNA from 1 species